rnacentral:lncRNA from 1 species
CACAAAAGCCCUUUUUGGCCAAUUAUUAGUAAUUUUCACUUAUAAAGAAACUUGAAGGUUAAGGAGCUUGUUUAAAGACACCCAGCAAUGGAGCAGUUGAGUCAGUUCAGUUCAGGUUAAGGCUCACUUCUCUUCAAGCCGCAACUGCCUGGCCCUGAGCCUGAGUCCCCACUCCCCACACCACACACCUCAUACCCAGGAACCUGCCACAUGUGCUGAGUGAGUCUGUGGGUGGGGUGAGUUGUUUUGGAAAGUAGUCUCGGCUGUUGUUCCCAUGGAAGAUCACAGUGAGCUCAGCUUGUUGACAAAUGUUGGGUUCCCACUGACCUGGCAGCUUUUUAUGGGGCAGAAUUUGCUGAAACUCAUAGAAGAGAAGGAAGGAGAAGAAAGCAGACAGUUUAUCUAACCCAGAUCUUGAAAAGGAAAGACAGGCAGCAUUGUGCCCUGGGGAAGCAUGCAGACUGGGGACAAUGUAGGCCUGGCACCCGCCUGGAAAGACUGCCCACACAGAGCCAAAGAUGCCCCAGGAGUCUGCAAAGGCAAAUGGAUCAGGUGCCUUCCAGCCAAAGGCCACAGCCAGAAGCCCUUGGAGAUCCCACUUCCCGGGAGGAUGAAGUCCACUUUGUCCUGAUGCCCCCUCCUUUCGAAGUGGAACCUCUAUUUUACUACUUCUCUGAUGUGCCCUGAGCCCCAGCCACUCUUGCCACACCCCAUCUCCAAACCCUCCCCAGGAACAGCCUCCUACCUGGACUCCCAGAUGCCAGCCCUCUCCUCACCAUGCCCCUUCCCUGAGGUAGCUAUAGGAAAUAUUCUAGAAGAUCUGACAUUAGCCUCCUGUUGACAUCUUUCCAUGAUUCCCACAACUCUCAGAGGGAUGCCCCAAUCCUUCAUAGGAGUUUUGGGAUCUGGUCCCUUUGUAGCUCUCUUAUCUACCCUCUUCCCAGAGUGUCCUCCCCAGCCAGGCUGAACUCCUUUGGCCCCAAAAUCAAGGGGCAUUUUUUCUCACCCUGGGCCACCUACUCUUCCUUCUGCCUGGAAAGCCACAAUUGCUUUCUCCACCUAACUUAAUUCUAUGCUUCAAAUCUCAGCUUCCUUCAUCUGCAAACUCUCACCCACCUCUGGCUUCAUACCCCACAGCUACCCCUG